rnacentral:rRNA from 1 species
GAUGAACGCUGGCGGCGUGCUUAACACAUGCAAGUCGAACGGUGAAGGCGGAGCUUGCUCUGCUGGAUCAGUGGCGAACGGGUGAGUAACACGUGAGCAAUCUGCCCCUGACUCUGGGAUAAGCGCUGGAAACGGCGUCUAAUACUGGAUACGAGCUGCGAAGGCAUCUUCAGCAGCUGGAAAGAACUUCGGUCAGGGAUGAGCUCGCGGCCUAUCAGCUUGUUGGUGAGGUAACGGCUCACCAAGGCGUCGACGGGUAGCCGGCCUGAGAGGGUGACCGGCCACACUGGGACUGAGACACGGCCCAGACUCCUACGGGAGGCAGCAGUGGGGAAUAUUGCACAAUGGGCGAAAGCCUGAUGCAGCAACGCCGCGUGAGGGACGACGGCCUUCGGGUUGUAAACCUCUUUUAGCAGGGAAGAAGCGAAAGUGACGGUACCUGCAGAAAAAGCGCCGGCUAUCUACGUG